rnacentral:ncRNA from 2 species
UAAGCGGAGGAAAAGAAACUAACAA